rnacentral:rRNA from 1 species
GGAGCGAACGCUGGCGGCAGGCCUAACACAUGCAAGUCGAACGGACCCUUCGGGGUUAGUGGCGGACGGGUGAGUAACACGUGGGAACGUGCCUUUUGGUUCGGAAUAGCUCCUGGAAACGGGUGGUAAUGCCGAAUGUGCCCUUCGGGGGAAAGAUUUAUCGCCAUUAGAGCGGCCCGCGUCUGAUUAGCUAGUUGGUGAGGUAAAGGCUCACCAAGGCUACGAUCAGUAGCUGGUCUGAGAGGAUGACCAGCCACAUUGGGAC